GAUCCUCUUCUAGCCGUAUUUUGAGAGCAACUUCUCUGAGAGAAGAUGUAGGGCGCUGGGCCCAAUAUUCGAUCUAGGACACCAUCAAAUUUAAGAAUUUAAUCCAGCCAAGAAAACAUACACAGGUCUGCUUUUUCAAUUUUCAAGUAUUGAGCCCCGUCUUGUGCGCAGUUCCAGACAAUCUCUCAACACAGAUUCAUCUCUUGCCAAAGCAUUGAUAAUUUGUUAAAAUAUGAUGUAACAUCCAUGGAUCCUUGUUUGCAUUCAUGGACCUGCUUGUGAAGCGUAUAUACUCAAGAGGCAUUCUGUCUCUUUGAGUACAAAUCUCGUGCAGCCUCCCAGAUAUCCUUGGCGGUUGCAGCAUACAAUAAUGGUCUGCCUAUUUAAGGUUCCAUACUAUUCACGAGGACAGAGCAUAACAGCAAGUCUUCUGCUUUCCAGAUCCGUUCUUGAGGAUCACCUGGUACUGGCUUCGGAAUCUCCCCCAUUAAGAACCCAAAUUUGUGACGCCCUUCCAAGGCCAUUCGAAUUAAUUGGGACCAGGAGAAAUAAUUUUGGCCAUUUAAUUUUUCUCCUGCAAGAAAUCCUGCAGAGUUGCCCAUUGAGCCAAAUAAAUAAGAAGCAUGUGGAAAAAUAGGGAACGAAUUUACCGAUUCUCUGAAUAGAUUGGUUAAACCGGUUGGGGAUUUGCGCCGGACAUCUUAUCCAAAUCCGAAAUUUGUUGUUGGAGAUAAGCCAACCAUUGUCUCACAUCAUCUGGGCAUUGGGUCGAGCCAUAAGCGGCUGCAAACGGAGCAGCCACUGAUGGCUGGAAGGAGUUCGUCGGCAAACGUGAAGACCUCAGUCGGCUGGAAUACUCGAGAUGGGUGCUCGACACGGCUCCACGUUGGUCGAACGGACCUGGCGCAGAAGAUUCGACCGGCGUGAGCACGAUCGGCGCGGAUGGCACGGAUGGCAGCGACCCACGGCUUAAAUCGACCGGAUCCGUUCCUGUCUGUCUGUCGAAGACACAUCUGAGCUCAAUCGACAAGGAUUGCAACAUACCUCGGUUGGGCUUGAUUGGAUGUGUUCCUGUCCGAUCGUCAAAGACUCGACUAGGCUCAAUUGGAUUCACCCCUGACCAACCGUUGAAGACAGCGCCGCCCUGGUUUUGGUUGCCGAUCGUGGCUUCUGUCUGCCGUGGCGGCUCCCAUCGACUCCGGCUCUCCAUCGACUCCAGGGACGGCAGAAAUCAACUUCAGUAGGGCUGUUUGAAAACACUCCUUCACGACCGCUCAAAUAGUUGUCUUCAUGUCAAAACUCGAAGUUCCAUCCGCAAAAGGCGACUGUGGUUGGUUCUUUUCCUUAACAACUAGGGUUUCGUCGUCUAGCUUUCAUUCCAUGUUAAAAAAUAGAAGAAGAGAAGAGAAUAAUAACACAGUUAUGUGGAAACCCUAGUAUAGGGAGAAAAACCAUGAUAUAGAGAUCUUUCUUAUUAGUUAAUCUGAUACACUAAAUACACAGGGACACACUGUAUAAAAAGACAGUAGGAAAUCCUAGGGGUCUACACAAUUAUAUAAAGGUCCCUAGGUUAAUAACCCUAUUUUCAACAUUAACAAACUUCCCAUCUUCUGAAAGACCCUUUUACUUUCCAUGAUCGAUCCGGUCAGGACUCAUUUUGCUAGGCCCAACUGAAAGAAAGUUUUCUCCAGAAUUUGUUCGAAGCAUUGUAAUGCCAAAAUAGGAGUAUUCUACUGUGGAGCACCAAUCCUUGAAAAGGAACUUAGCAAUCUUUGCUAUGAAUUCCAUCAAAAGGGCCCAACUAAGUUCGAUUUUCACAAGGAACACUUUGACAAAACAGUUGAAGGGUACACAGAAGCUGACUCUACUACCCCAUAUAUUCGUAACUUUAAACUUCUCCCCAUAUCUUGGAAGGCCUCUUGCCAUGAGUUAAAUUGUAUUGUAUAGUUUUUGAUAGGAAAGAAACAGGAAAAGAAAAACCCAAAAAGAAGGAAAAAAAUAAAAGAACUUAGGAAAAGGGGAGUAUAUGUAUAGAAACAAUGAGACUUUAGGCAUUUGGUAAUUAGUACUUAGUACAACCGCGAAAAUUCCUGGUGGUUGAAGAGACGAAGCUUGGUUGGGAGUUGGAACUUAUCCUUGCCUUGUGGCCUGUCUAUUAAAGUGAUGGGAGGUAAUGGACCUGUGAUGUCAUGUCGUGAGGAGACCCAAAUGUGGUACAGCUGCAAUGAACUUGUUGGUUGAUGAUGACCCAAUAGGAAAGUGAUUGGGUGGUGGGUUAUAGCAGGCAAUUUUGAAAUCCAGAAAGCUAGAAUGCUAUACUGUAUGAGUUUGUGGUGGGAGUAGAGUAGGAUAGGAUUUUGGGUAUUCUUAUCUGCUCAACUUUUUCUUUUCCUCCAUUUUGCUUUGUUUUCUUUUCCAAACUAAGCUUAUAAGUCUUUAGGAAUCCAUCUAGAUUGCUAUUGCUGGUGCAGAGUUUCAGAUUCGAUUCCAUUUAUUUAGAAUAAAAGCAGGGUUGUAAUUUGUAAAUGUAAACCACAGUUAUAUAUUUUGUUCAUCAAA